rnacentral:lncRNA from 1 species
AGUUUCUUCCAUUCAAUCAACUAGUUGGGGCGAACCCCGCUGCCUACUUGCAGACACAACAGAUACUACCAUUGAACUAGCUUGCUCUUGUGAGCCCUACUACUCUCUUGCAGCAGCAACAGUUUCUUCCACUCAAUCAACUAGCUGGAGUGAACUCCAUUGCCUACUUGCAGCCACAACAACUACUACCAUUCAACCAGCUUGCUCUUGGGAGCCCUGCUACUUUCUUGCAACAACAAUAGUUGUACCCGCAGGCUAUGGCAAACAUUGCCACCUUCUUGCAACAACAAC